GACGAACGCUGGCGGCGUGCUUAACACAUGCAAGUCGAACGAAGUGGCGAACGGGUGAGUAACGCGUAAUCAACCUGCCCAUCAGAGGGGGACAACAGUAGGAAACGACGACUAAUACCGCAUACUGAAGGGGGGGCCGGCGUCAGAUUAGAUAGUUGGAGGGGUAACGGCCCACCCAGGCGAUGAGCAGUAGCCGGUCUGAGAGGAUGACCGGCCACAUUUGGACUGAGACACGGCCCAGACUCCUACGGGAGGCAGCAGUGGGGAAUCCUCCGCAAUGGACGAAAGUCUGACGGAGCAACGCCGCGUGAGGGAUGACGGACUUAGGGUUGUAAAGCUCUGUUAAUCGGGACGCGGUACCGGAAUAGAAAGCCACGGCUAACUACGUGCCAGCAGCCGCGGUAAUAC
rnacentral:rRNA from 1 species